GACGAACGCUGGCGGCGUGCUUAACACAUGCAAGUCGAACGGAAAGGCCCUGCUUUUGUGGGGUGCUCGAGUGGCGAACGGGUGAGUAACACGUGAGUAACCUGCCCUUGACUUUGGGAUAACUUCAGGAAACUGGGGCUAAUACCGGAUAGGAGCUCCUGCUGCAUGGUGGGGGUUGGAAAGUUUCGGCGGUUGGGGAUGGACUCGCGGCUUAUCAGCUUGUUGGUGGGGUAGUGGCUUACCAAGGCUUUGACGGGUAACCGGCCUGGGAGGGUGACCGGCGACCUUGCGCCUGCGGUACGGAGCAGUCUCGUAUGGGAGACAGCAGUGGGGAGUAUUGCACAGUGGGACCGCGCCUGAUGAAGAAACGCUGCGUGUGUAAAGCCGGCCUUUUGGUUGUGAAACGCAGCAGGUUGAGACGACGCGGUACUGACGGUACUGAGUAAAGAAGCACCGGCUAACUACGUG
rnacentral:rRNA from 1 species